CGGGGGGCGAGUCCCUUGUCCCAGGCUGUCCCCAUUCCUCCUCGCUUGCUGCGGUGCCCAGCUCUCCUCCCAGGACUUCGGGGUGCUCCAGGCUGCCCGUGCGGUGUGUCUUAUCCACCUGCAGCUCCUGCAGGCAGCGCUGGACGUGGUGCAGGAGCCUCGGGGACCCAGGGCUGUGCUGCCGGAGACCGGGCGAAGUGCUCGGGGACGGGGAGGUGGCAGAGCGGAGGCGAGGACGCCGGCUCCAUCUCUGCGCACAGGCAGCGUCUUCAGUCCCGGUUCAGAUGGGACUGGGGGGACAAAAAGGGGAGAUCCCACCCAGGGAGGUCCCACCCCACACCCCGCACAUCCCUGCCUCCUGCAGAGCACUUAUUUGGGCCAGCGAGCAACUGUGGCUGCUCUCCAGUUGUUUUUAUCCAAAGCCCACCCUCCCUGUGGCACUGCCGGGGAGCAGGUCCUGCCCCAGAGCUACCAGCUCCCACGGGGACGUGUCCCUGUCCCCACCCGGGGCACAGCGGAGGUGGCACAAUCACUGGGUGCUGCCAGCACCCCUCUCCAUUCCCUGACCUUCUCCACAGCCUCCUGGAGCUGAUGAGAUGUGGUCGCCUCCUCCUCCCUCAGCAGCACCCGGAGCUGCUCCAGGGUCUCCAGCUGCUGCCGCAGGAGGGAGCGGGUUCGAUGCUGCAGCUCGCAGAGCCUCUGCACAAAGAGAGGGGUCCCCAACCCGUGGGGCCACCCCAGCACGUCACCCAGACCCAGCAAGGUAUUUCCCACAUUCAAUCCCCCCAACGCUGGCUCAGGCUGGGUGGGAAGCGUGGGCACGGCGGCGACCAGCAUCGUGCCAACACCGCUGCCCUGCCUGCACCCCGAGGGACCUCCCAGCCCAACCAGCCAAGCCGGGGUACAGCCACGGGGCUUUUCCCCACGGAUCCUCUCUCUUUAAACUGUUUUAGGAACGUGGCCAUACCCCGACACGGGACACGCAGGUGGCUGGAUGAGGGGUUUGGCCUCGAUGAGGGACCCGCUCCCUCCCUCCCUCCCUGGGUCUGUCCCACGCAGCCCCAGACCCACGGCACGCACCGACCUCCUGCAGCUCCAGUUUCUCGUCUCGCAGAGCCGAUGAUGCCCUUUGUGCCUGCCCCGUGCCCCCAUCACGGCCUCUCUGAGAGCCCCUGCUGA
rnacentral:lncRNA from 1 species